rnacentral:lncRNA from 1 species
GAGGGGGUGAGAGGGCCUAGGAAUUGGCCUCCUCUAAUUGUGAGGGUGAAGGGUCCUUUUAUAGAAUAAAGGCUCCUCACUUAUUACAUAUUUGCCCCUUCCUUUAUUACAUAAUUACAUUUGAGUCCCCCGAGUAUUUAUACGAGGUCUAAAUACGGCGGCCCUAAGUUGGUAUAAACAGUAGUCCCCCAAGUCUUCAGUCAAGAGAGUCUUUUGGCUGGAGACUUCAAAUUCAGUCAAUGUGUGGGCCGAAGUAACUAGAUGCUGUCUUGAACUAAUGCUCGAUAUGAGGCAGUGCUCAAUCUGAAAUGAUGCUCAACUAGAAGUAGCACACGCUGCGAUGCUGCUGGGCUUGUGGCUUAUGUUGCCUUGGUUGGCUCGGCUUGUGGCGUUUGAAGGUGAGGGAGUCCCUUUUAUAGAAUAAGGGCUCACUCCUCAAUACAUGAAUGAUGGGCUAGAGUUGAUGCUCUCUAAUGAUGGUGAGGGAGUCCCUUUUAUAGAAUAAGGGCUCGCUCCUCAAUACAUAAAUGAUGGGUUAGGAGUGAUGCUCUCUAAUGAUGGUGAGGGAGUCACUUUUAUAGAAUAAGGGCUCGCUCCUCAAUAUAUAAAUGAUGGGUUAAGAGUGAUGCUCGCGGCGAGACGGUUGCUCAGCUGGCGGCGAUGCUCUCUAACGAAGGUGAGGGAGACAUUUUUAUAAAAUAAGGACUCGCUCCUCAAUACAUAAGUGAUGGGCUAAGUCCCCCAAGUAUUUUUCAAAAGUGCUCUCUAAUGAAAGUGAGGGAGUCCCUUUUAUAGAAUAAGGGCUCGCUCCUCAAUACAUAGAUAAUGGGCUAAGUCCCCCAAGUAUUUUUCAUGAGGCCUAGUUGAGGCCCAAUAUAUGGUACAUAAUGUAGUCCCCCAAGUCUUCGGUCAAUAGAGUCUGUUGGCUGGAGACUUCAAAUUGAAUCCAUGUAUGGGCCGAAGUGGCGGUUGUUCGAAUGUGGUAUUUGUAUACCCUGCACUGAAGCUUUGUAGGUGAAGCUUUGCAAGUGAAGCUUUGAAGCUAGAGCUCUGUAAAUGAAGCUUUCGAAGCUGGAAUUUUUAUAAAUGAAGCUUUUGAAGCUAGAGCUCUGUAAAUGAAGCUUUUGAAGCUGAUUGACAUAAGUGAUGCUCAUGAAUGUUUAUGUUGAUUGACAUGAGUGAUGCUCAUGGAUGUUGUCAUGAGUGAUGCUCAUGAAUGUUAACAUGAGUGAUGCUCAUGAAUGUUGACAUGAAUGAUGGUCAUGAAUGUUUAUGUAUGAUUGUUAUGAGUGAUGCUCAUGAAUGUUUAUGUAUGAAUGACAUGAGUAAUGCUUAUGUAUAAUUUGGAAUACUGGGCGUACUUUUGAUCACC